rnacentral:rRNA from 1 species
GACGAACGCUGGCGGCGUGCUUAACACAUGCAAGUCGAACGGAAAGGCCCUGCUUUUGUGGGGUGCUCGAGUGGCGAACGGGUGAGUAACACGUGAGUAACCUGCCCUUGACUUUGGGAUAACUUCAGGAAACUGGGGCUAAUACCGGAUAGGAGCUCCUGCUGCAUGGUGGGGGUUGGAAAGUUUCGGCGGUUGGGGAUGGACUCGCGGCUUAUCAGCUUGUUGGUGGGGUAGUGGCUUACCAAGGCUUUGACGGGUAGCCGGCCUGAGAGGGUGACCGGCAACAUGGGGACGGAGAUACGGCCCAGACCCCUACGGGGGGCAGCAGUGGGGAAUAUUGAAAAAGGGGCGGAAGCCUGAUGCAGCAACGCCGGGGGGGGGAUGACGGCCUUCGGGUUGUAAACCGCUUUCGCCGGGGACGAAGGGGGAGUGACGGUAAUGGGUAAAGAAGCACCGGCUAACUACGU